UGGGCAACCUGCCCCUCUCUCUGGGAUAACCCCGGGGAAACCGGAGCUAAUACCGGAUACUCCGGCUGGAUCGCAUGGUCCGGCCGGGAAAGGUCCGCCGGAGAGGGAUGGGCCCGCGGCCUAACAGCUUAUUGGUGGGGUCAUGGCUCACCAAGGCGACGACGGGUAGCUGGUCUGAGAGGACGACCAGCCACACUGGAACUGAGAUACGGUCCAGACUCCGUAACGGGAAGCA
rnacentral:rRNA from 1 species